GGCCCCAUCGUCUAGCCCGGCCUAGGACAUCAGAUUUUCAUUCUGGUAACAGGGGUUCGAAUCCCCUUGGGGUCA
rnacentral:tRNA from 8 species